UCACGCGCUGAAAUGCAAGAGCAGAGAACAGCAGAGCGAAAGCAGAUGAGAUCGACAUCUUUACUUUGUCACAAUGGCUCCACAGUUCACCUCAUUGUGUCGUAGGCAGAGCGGUUCAGCCACUUCACCGGACCAACCAUGUGUCACCAGUCCCGGUGGGAGAUGAUGUCAUCGCAUGAUGAUAUGCCAGGAGGCGGUGAGAGCGAAACCAAGUCCAUGGUGGAGAGAAACUGCAAAAGCGCUGCGUCAUCUCUAGUGAGAAGUGUGCGCUCGGAAACAAGUUCCUGACUGUGCAGAAGGCUGGAAUAGUUCAGCAGCAAAUCGGAUGACUCCUUUUGUUUCUGUGAAACAGCAACGUCUGUCUCAGAGGGCGGCCCGUCGCAUCGCUGCAUUCUCUGACAAAAGAUGCGAAAAAGUUCAUUAGAAGCUUUUGGGUGUGCGCCAUGUUUGGUCAAUAAAUUAGCCAGUCUUAAUCUCCACUCGAUUGUCUCUGCCGCACAAAGCCGAUUCUGGAGCCAAGCCAGGAAUUUACUAAUAGAUUGCCAGACAGCAUCCAGAGGAGAUGAUUUUAAAUUAACGCCGUCACACUGAGAAAAAAAAGAAAGAAAAAAAAAAACUCGCCGUGCUUCUGCUUCUUCUUGAUUGACUCGAUGAGAAGUUCACAUUUAUAGCCACUCCGUCCCUGAGAUCCUACAGGAAGUCCAUUCUUUAAACUUCAAAUG